rnacentral:rRNA from 1 species
GAUGAACGCUGGCGGCGUGCCUAAUACAUGCAAGUCGAGCGAACAGAUAAGGAGCUUGCUCCUUUGACGUUAGCGGCGGACGGGUGAGUAACACGUGGAUAACCUACCUAUAAGACUGGGAUAACUUCGGGAAACCGGAGCUAAUACCGGAUAACAUAUUGAACCGCAUGGUUCAAUAGUGAAAGGCGGCUUUGCUGUCACUUAUAGAUGGAUCCGCGCCGUAUUAGCUAGUUGGUAAGGUAACGGCUUACCAAGGCAACGAUACGUAGCCGACCUGAGAGGGUGAUAGGCCACACGGGAACUGAGACACGGUCCAGACUCCUACGGGAGGCAGCAGUAGGGAAUCUUCCGCAAUGGGCGAAAGCCUGACGGAGCAACGCCGCGUGAGUGAUGAAGGUCUUCGGAUCGUAAAACUCUGUUAUCAGGGAAGAACAAAUGUGUAAGUAACUGUGCACAUCUUGACGGUACCUGAUCAGAAAGCCACGGCUAACUACGUG